UGUACGUACGUUUUAUGAACAUGAUCAUGUGCCAACUCGUUUUAAUAACACACUUUUUUCUCUCCUUUUCUUGCCCCAAAAAUGAAGCUCUAUAUAUAUUUACUUAAACUUGUGCUUAUAAUUGUAAUAACACUCCAACAAUUACUACUAUCAUAUAUUAUGUUUAGCAAUAAACUAUUUUUAUAUAUUUUUGACGUAACUUUUAUUAUUAUUUUAACAUUUUAUUUAGCUAGUUCUAAAAAUAACAUACAUAUAUAUAGUAUAUAUAUAUAUAUUAUAGUAACAAAAAUAACUAUAAUUUAUUUUAUUUCUAUUCCUAAUAGUAUUAUUCAUAAUAAAAGUAUUUAUACAUAUUAUAUAAAAUAUUUUAAUGAUGUUUUAUAUUUAAUAUAUGCAGUUACGUUUACUUUAUUAAUUACAGUAAUUGUAUAUAUUAUUUUUUUUUAUAUAACAAAUUAUAAUUUAUUAUCAAUUGAUACUAUUACUGUUGAAAACAUUUUAUUUCUUAUUAUAGCUGUAUAUGUAUCCAUAGAUAUAAUAGAUAUAUCUGAUUUUUUUUAUAAUUCUUAUUUAUAUUUUUUAUAUUAUUAUUUUAGAUUAAAAGAUGAAUAUAUUAUGCUUUCUAAUAUAAAGUUGUUUGAACAACAAUUUUUUAAAGAAAAAAAUAUUAGCAAAUUUUAUAUUACUACAACAAAUAUAACUGAAAUAUUUUAUAUCACUAUAGGCAUUUUAAUAUCUUUAAAUGUGUUUAUACAUGCAUAUUCUUUACCUAAUUAUUCACAUGAGGCUAACAUACAACAGAUUGGUUUUAUUAAAAACUCAGUAAAAAAAAAAAAAAAAUAUAAUGAAAAACAAUGUAAUGAAAAACAAUGUAAUGAAAAACAAUAUAAUGCAAAACAAUAUAAUACAAAACAAUAUAAUGCAAAACAAUAUAAUGCAAAACAAUAUAAUGCAAAAUAUAGGAACAAGUAUAAACAUAACAAUAAUAACAAUAAAAAUUAUAAUUUUAUUAAGAGUUACAAUUAUGAUCAUAUAAAUCCUAAAGCUAGUAAUAAUUUUAAAUCAAAAUUAUUAACAGAUUUCCAAUUUAACAGACCCAAAUCAAAUAUAUGUAAUAAAAAAAGUAGAUCCGAAUCCAUAAUAAAAGCUUUAACAAACCAGAAACUUCCUGCUAAUACAACAUCAACUUUAACGACAGUUCCACAUUCGACAUCAGACAUACAACCAUAUGCUACAACUCCAAAAAUAAUUAAUAUAUCACAGAAACACAUAUAUAACAACUUUAAAAUCAAUAACGAAUUUUCUAAAACAUAUAAUAUUACUUCUAACACACAACAUUACGAUGAAUAUUUUUUAAAAAAAACAUAUUAUGAUUCAAAAAUUAGUGGGGACGCAUUAUCUUGUUUGAAAUAUAUUAGUGUAUGUAGUUUUAUUUUUACCAACUUAAAUUUUUGUUUCGUUAGACUAAUGAAUAUAUUGUUAUUUUCUGAGUUAUUGUCUUCCUCAUUCUUUAUCAUAAAAAACAUCUGCUUCAUUGCUAUAUGCAUCUUAAGGAUGUACAGAAAGUCCAAGUAUAAUAAAGGAUUGAAUUACAAAAAAAAAAAAAAUAAAAAUAAAAUAAAAAAUUUAUAUUCUAAAAUAGAUAAUAAUGACAUUUUUGCUAUGAACAAAAACAAUCAAUCCGAAAUGGAAAACUUUGACGACGAAAGUAACGCCCAAGUUAGACACUGGUAUGGUGGAUGUACGUAUAAGUCAUAUACACUUAAUACAAGGAAACUUCAAAAAAGAAACACAAAUGAAAUUUCUUACACUUUUGAAACUUAUAAAACAAAAAGUUCUAUAUUACAAAAUAGUUAUGAUAGUAAAAUAUUAUUUUCUAAAACUAUUGGUUUUAAUGAUUUUAUAAAUAUACAAGAUAUAGAACAUAGUGAAUAUAAUAAAUGUACUAGUUUAAAAUAUAAUCAUAUAAAGUUUUAUUUUAAUUUUUUAUAUUUAAAAUAUAAUGGACUUAAUAUAAAAAAAUAUAUAACCUACUACUUCGAUAAUAUAUCUAGACAAUCAUUCAAAUAUUCAUUUUUUUUUUUUUUUUUUAUUUUAUUAAUAGCUAUAAAAAUAACCAUUAUUGUUAUAACAUAUAUUUUUGAUUUUGAUCAGGAUUUUCAAAUAAAAUUAUAUGAUUUGACUUUUAAUUAUAACAUAAAAGUUAUCGAUGAAUGUCUAAUGCUACAAAUUAUUUUUUUUAUUAUUUCUUUUUAUACUAUUUCUAUUUUUGUUAUAUAUACUUUAACUUGUUCAUUCUUUGAUGCCCUUUUUAUGUCGCUUUUACAUUUUUCAGAUCUUAUUUCGUUUGUAUUUAUUCUAAUUAUAUUAUCACAGAUUAACUCGGGGUUAGUAAUGUUUAUUCACAUGAGUCGGAACAAAAAUAUCAUGCCCAUGUUGUUUAUAUUCGUGCGAAUGGUAUAUCUUCUUCUUUCCGACUCCUAUAUUUUCAUUAAUAUGAUUCUUGGAAGAAUAUACAUUACCUAUAAUUAUAAAACGAAAGAGAGAAAAGACAUACACAGUGAUGCAAAUUCAUAUGGUAAUGUUUCAGUUACCAUAUCAAUAAUAUCAUUAUUAAUAUUUAAGUUAAUAAAAUAUAUGAACGGACCCCUUAUAUUAAAUAAAAUUAUUAUAGGCAAUAAUCUUAUCAAGAACACUAGAGUUGAUAAUUUUUUUUAUUUUAGACAUAUUAAAACCAUUAUACAAAAACUAAUUGUUUAUUUUUUAUGCUUUAUUUUUUGUUUUAAUAUUA
ensembl:lncRNA